AAGAAAAUGAUGAAUCGUUGGUAGGAGAGAGUAGUUGAGCCUGCGCUUAAGUGCGCGGUGAGAUUNGUUCUUUUCGUUUUAAACCGAUAAUUCUUACACACANUGGAGUUUUUUAUUCUACAGUAUCGGAGGUAGCAAUACUUCCAACACAAAACACAAACAAUUAUUUUUUUAUUAUUUUAAUCUAGUCAUUUCAAAAUCUGCUUUACGGCAGUAACCAAAAUAUUCA
rnacentral:rRNA from 1 species